rnacentral:rRNA from 1 species
GAAGGUGCUCGCAAUAUCCCCUGGUGAACAUCCGCUAAGGAAAGCUUUUACCCAGUCUAGAACGCUGGGAGAAUAAGGAGAGGGCAAGUCUGGUGUCAGCCGUCCGCGGUAAUACCAGCUCUCCGAGUGGUGUGGAUGUUUAUUGGGCCUAAAGCAUCCGUAGCUUGCCAGGCAAGUCCCCUGUUAAAUCCACCGAAUCAAUCGUUGGAUUGCGGGGGAUACUGCCCGGCUAGGGGACGAGAGAGGCCGACGGUAUUCCCGGGGUAGGGGUGAAAUCCUAUAAUCCCGGGAGGACCACCAGUGGCGAAGGCUGUCGGCUAGAACGCGCCCGACGGUGAUGGAUGAAAGCUGGGGGAGCGAACCGGAUUAGAUACCCGGGUAGUCCCAGCUGUAAACGAUGCAGGCUAGGUGUUUGGGCGGCCACGUGCCGCUCUAGUGCCGCAGGGAAGCUGUUAAGCCUGCCGCCUGGGGAGUACGGUCGCAAGGCUGAAACUUAAAGGAAUUGGCG